rnacentral:lncRNA from 1 species
AGUAUAGUUAUCGGGCCAAGUCACGCAAAGACAACUGCAAUAAGAAAAGCAAUUCCAGAGGAUAGGUCGGCUGCCAGCCAAGUCACUACAACAAAGGCAAAGAGAGGAAGGGGCAAUCAGCUUGUAUAUAAGUGCUAUCCGUUCUGUUCUAUCAAGUAAGAAUACCAGAGCCAAGGAACUACUAGACUCAAAGAGUAGGGAAAGAGACUGGAAAUCCGGUGUUAAGGACUAGCUUCUGAAGCACUCACUGAAUGACUUACGUCUUUAUUCUACACAUUGUAACGAUCAUUUUGGAGGUCGGAAUUCCAGUAAGGGCAGAGGUUCGGCUUGCUUCUCCCCCCCCCAGCAAACAAACAGAAGCAUCUUUCCUAUGGUGCACCCAGCUAGCAACGGAGGCAUCAAAGAAAGCGGUAGUGCACCCACCCAGCAAACAAACGGAAGCGUCUUUAGGCAUAAAAUAAACAAAACGCCCGAAACUACAAAGAGCAUACCACCCUGCUAGCUAAUCUAAGCUGAAAAAGAGGUCAACUACAGCAUAAAACCUGCGAAUUUCGUAAUUGAUAGUAUUUGUAUAGUAUUUGUUCAGAUGCUGGGGUUCUUUUUUAUGCAAUCAUCUUCCA